CGGACAACCGUGUCCGUUGGGAUGUGGUCCUUCGGGACUGAACCAUAAG
rnacentral:ncRNA from 1 species